rnacentral:rRNA from 1 species
GUGUCAGCCGCCGCGGUAAUACGUAGGGUGCAAGCGUUGUCCGGAAUCAUUGGGCGUAAAGAGCGUGUAGGCGGCUCGAUUAGUCCGCUGUAAAAGUCCAGGGCUCAACCCUGGGAUGCCGGUGGAAACUGUCGGGCUAGAGUCCGGGAGAGGCGAGUGGAAUUCCUGGUGUAGCGGUGAAAUGCGCAGAUAUCAGGAGGAACACCAAUGGCGAAGGCAGCUCGCUGGAACGGUACUGACGCUGAGACGCGAAAGCGUGGGGAGCAAACAGGAUUAGAAACCCUGGUAGUCC